rnacentral:rRNA from 1 species
AUACGUAGGGGGCGAGCGUUGUCCGGAAUUACUGGGUGUAAAGGGAGCGUAGGCGGGACGGCAAGUCAGAUGUGAAAUACAUGGGCUCAACCCAUGGGCUGCAUUUGAAACUGCUGUUCUUGAGUGAAGUAGAGGCAAGCGGAAUUCCUGGUGUAGCGGUGAAAUGCGUAGAUAUCAGGAGGAACACCGGUGGCGAAGGCGGCUUACUGGAUUUUUCCUGACGCUGAGGCUCGAAAGCGAGGGGAGAAAUCAGGAGUAUAUGCCCCGGUAGUCCACGCGGUAAACGAUGAUCACUAGGUGAGGGGGGACUGAGCCCGUGCGUGCCGCAGUUAACACAAUAAGUGAUCCACCUGGGGAGUACGGCCGCAAGGUUGAAACUCAAAUGAAAUGGCGGGG